rnacentral:lncRNA from 10 species
AGGCUUUCCUGCUGGAAGGGCUGCUGGAAGCCAUCUUCGCACGGUUCUUCCCUUGGCUUUAGAGCCCCGAAGCGCUCUUUGACUUGAGCUGCUUUGCAUUCUCUCUGUCCUGCCAUCGAGAAAGUUCUGAGCGGCUCAGAAGUAAUACUGACACUCUAUCCCUCCGAGGAAUUCUGCCCCAGACAGCAGAGAGAUGGGGGGCAGGGGACACAUGGCCAUGAGGACAGAGAGCCCUGAGAGGGACUGGGGAAUCGAGACAUCGUUUUCAAAUAAUUGCAGCAAUCAAGAGAGACUGUACAUCCCAUCCCAGACAAAGGGAGACCUGUGAGUCCUGAAAAAUGAGAGAAUGGAGCUGGGCGCAGUGGUUCACGCCUGUAAUCCCUGCACUUUGGGAGGCCGAGGCAGGCAAAUCACCUGAGGUCAGGAGUUCCAGACCGGCUGGGCAACAUGGUGAAACCCUGUCUCUACUAAAAAUAUGAAAAAAAGUUAGCCAGGCGUCCGCGUGCCUGUAAUUCCAGCUACUCAGGAGACUGAGGCAGGAGAAUCGCUUGAACCUGGGAGGCAGAGGUUGCAGUGAGCCGAGAUCACGCCACUGCACUCCAGCCUGGGCGAUAAGAGUGAAACUCUGUCUCAAAAUAAAUAAAUAAAUAAAUAAAUAAAUAAUCUUAAAAAAAAUAAAAAGAAAACUAGAGAAUGAUGACUUCUGUUUACCAUGUGCCUGGUUUCCUGUCCUGUCUGUGAUCCUGUUGCUGUUUGCUGUCAACUGUUCCUGCUUCAGUGAUAUUAGAAGGGUUCAAGGAGAAUGUGGGUCCCCUCCUUGCCUGCUCUGGGCCUUCCCCUGUUUCUGGCCUGUUUCAUCUCCACCCCCGUUGGAUCUGAGCUCCUUGAGGGUGGCCCCUACACCCUGCAGUGCUGAGCAUUGGGAGGUGUGAGGGUUGCUGAAGGCUGGGGGUUGGUGCUUUUCUUCAUUCAGCAGUCAUCAUUUAUUGAGCACCCACUGUUUGCCAGCUCCUUGGCUAAGCAUUUCAAGCCCUGUUCCAUGGGCUCAGUCUUCCAGGGGCUGGCCGCUAACUACGCAUCGAUUGAUUUCCAGAAGGACAGAAGCACAUAGCAGGGCCUGGUCUCCACUGGGGGUGCCAGGAGCUG